rnacentral:lncRNA from 1 species
CUCUAUUUAAUAUCACUCAAUUAUGAAUUUGUUUUGCUUUCAGAGGAAUGGAAUGCAUUUUAGUUUUUAUAAAUUUGGGGAGAGACAACACUCUGCCCAGGCCAGGGCUGGACGUGAAAGUUGGGCCCCUGCCUGGUCUCGGUGCAUGUCCUUCCUGCCCACCUGCUUGUCUUCCUUUUCCUAACUCUAUUCGUCUUUCU